UAUUAGAUUUUUUGGUCGGUUGGGUUAUGUUAUUCGGGUUUUUGUGAACACCUCUACUCAUUUGUAAAAUAGCGUUGUUAGUUUAAGUCUGAGGCUGCUGUGAAAUCAGAGGGCUGUGGAGAGUUUUAAUUGGUGGUUUUGCCCCUCUCUGCCAUUUUCUGAUGCCGAUAAUCACUCAAAUGAAAAAAGUUUCCGAUUCCAAAACCAGCCUUUUAGUGAAAAUACAAAUAACCUCUCUAUUUUCUUUUCUUGUUACUCCUUUCUCAUUUUAUGUGAUCUAACAGGCUAUGAAGAUUUUGUUCUUAUAUGAAAGGUGAACCAAGAGAUAUAUUUCUAUUGAGCUGGAAAAAACUGUAACAGGGCAUGGUAGCUCAGAUGGGUCUGUGAGAUAUUGGAAUAUAUUCCAUUUUUUGGUGCUUCUUCUGUAUCUUGUAAGGCUAACUGAUGCUUGCAGCCACGAUAGUUUUACCAAAGCUCUUUUGGUUUCUGUCUGAGGAAAGGCGAAUCUGAGCCUACCCCAUUACUUGAGUUUGGAUUUUGGUUUUCACUCUUCUCCUUGGUUUUGCCCCAUUAAUCUGAGCUUACCCGAAAGCUUUGACUAAUGACUCACU
rnacentral:lncRNA from 1 species